AACACGUGAGUAACCUGCCCUUGACUCUGGGAUAAGCCUGGGAAACUGGGUCUAAUACCGGAUAUGACCUUCCAUCGCAUGGUGGUUGGUGGAAAGCUUUUGUGGUUUUGGAUGGACUCGCGGCCUAUCAGCUUGUUGGUGGGGUAAUGGCCUACCAAGGCGAUGACGGGUAGCCGGCCUGAGAGGGUGACCGGCCACACUGGGACUGAGACACGGCCCAGACUCCUACGGGAGGCAGCAGUGGGGAAUAUUGCACAAUGGGCGCAAGCCUGAUGCAGCGACGCCGCGUGAGGGAUGACGGCCUUCGGGUUGUAAACCUCUUUCAGUAGGGAAGAAGCGAAAGUGACGGUACCUGCAGAAGAAGCGCCGGCUAACUACGUGCCAGCAGCCGCGGUAAUACGUAGGGCGCAAGCGUUAUCCGGAAUUAUUGGGCGUAAAGAGCUCGUAGGCGGUUUGUCGCGUCUGCUGUGAAAGACCGGGGCUCAACUCCGGUUCUGCAGUGGGUACGGGCAGACUAGAGUGAUGUAGGGGAGACUGGAAUUCCUGGUGUAGCGGUGAAAUGCGCAGAUAUCAGGAGGAACACCGAUGGCGAAGGCAGGUCUCUGGGCAUUAACUGACGCUGAGGAGCGAAAGCAUGGGGAGCGAACAGGAUUAGAUACCCUGGUAGUCCAUGCCGUAAACGUUGGGCACUAGGUGUGGGGGACAUUCCACGUUUUCCGCGCCGUAGCUAACGCAUUAAGUGCCCCGCCUGGGGAGUACGGCCGCAAGGCUAAAACUCAAAGGAAUUGACGGGGGCCCGCACAAGCGGCGGAGCAUGCGGAUUAAUUCGAUGCAACGCGAAGAACCUUACCAAGGCUUGACAUGGACUGGAUCGCUCUGGAAACAGGGCUUCCCUUCGGGGCUGGUUCACAGGUGGUGCAUGGUUGUCGUCAGCUCGUGUCGUGAGAUGUUGGGUUAAGUCCCGCAACGAGCGCAACCCUCGUUCCAUGUUGCCAGCACGUAGUGGUGGGGACUCAUGGGAGACUGCCGGGGUCAACUCGGAGGAAGGUGGGGACGACGUCAAAUCAUCAUGCCCCUUAUGUCUUGGGCUUCACGCAUGCUACAAUGGCCGGUACAAUGGGUUGCGAUACUGUGAGGUGGAGCUAAUCCCAAAAAGCCGGUCUCAGUUCGGAUUGGGGUCUGCAACUCGACCCCAUGAAGUCGGAGUCGCUAGUAAUCGCAGAUCAGCAACGCUGCGGUGAAUACGUUCCCGGGCCUUGUACACACCGCCCGUC
rnacentral:rRNA from 1 species